UACGGGGGGGGCAAGCGUUGUUCGGAAUUACUGGGCGUAAAGGGCUCGUAGGCGGCCAACUAAGUCAGACGUGAAAUCCCUCGGCUCAACCGAGGAACUGCGCCCAAAACUGUCGUGCUCGAGGGAGACAGAGGUGAGCGGAACUUAGGGUGGAGCGGUGAAAUGCGUAGAGAUCGGGAGGAACACCAGUGGCGAAGGCGGCACCCUGGAUCAGCACUGACACUCAGGCACGAAAGCGUGGGGAGCAAACAGG
rnacentral:rRNA from 1 species